AGCUUUGCACAGUGGCAGUAUCGUAGCCAAUGAGGUUUAUCCGAGGCGCGAUUAUUGCUAAUUGAAAACUAUAAGAGUUGUCUUGGACAUGGAUCUGUUCCCAGAAAUAAAACCCUCACUAAGACAGCCAUCUUUAGAGAAUACAAUGUUGGGCUUGGUACUUUAUAAACUGUGUAAGGGACAGCUUAAGAUAUAU
ensembl:snRNA LOC120094540 U4 spliceosomal RNA